rnacentral:rRNA from 1 species
GACGAACGCUGGCGGCGUGCUUAACAAAUGCAAGUCGACCGGAAGGGCCCCCAUUUUGGUGGGGGUGCCGGGUGGCGAAAGGGGUGGUUAACAGUGGGUUAUUCUCCCCUUUAUUUGGGGAUAGCCUGGGAAAAUGGGGUUUAAUCCGGGAUGGACCAAGGUUUAGUUUUCUCUGGGGGGAAGAUUUAUUUUUUUGUUCAGGAUUAGCCCGCGGGCUAUCAGCUUGUUGGUGGGGUAAUGGCCUACCAAGGCGUCGACGGGUAGCCGGCCUGAGAGGGUGGACGGCCACAUUGGGACUGAGAUACGGCCCAGACUCCUACGGGAGGCAGCAGUGGGGAAUAUUGCACAAUGGGCGCAAGCCUGAUGCAGCGACGCCGCGUGGGGGAUGACGGCCUUCGGGUUGUAAACUCCUUUCGUUAGGGACGAAGCCGCACUUUUUUUGGGUGUGGUGACGGUACCUUUGUUAAGAAGCACCGGCUAACUACGUG